AGAAUAAGCAACGGCUAACUACGUGCCAGCANCCNCGGUAAUACGUAGGUUGCGAGCGUUAUUCGGAUCUACUGGGCGUAAAGCGCACCGAGGUGGCUUCUUAAGUUGGAUGUAAAAUCUCCCGGCUUAACUGGGAGGCGCCAUUCAAUACUGAGGAGCUUGAGGUCAGCAGGGGAAAGUGGAAUUCCCGGUGUAGUGGUGGAAUGCGUAUAGANCGGGAGGAACACCAGUGGCGAAAGCGACUUUCUGGNCUGCACCUGACACUCUAGUGNGAAAGCGUGGGGAGCAAACAGGAUUAGAUACCCUGGUAGUCCACGCCCUAAACGAUGGAUACUAGGUGUGGUAGGUAUUGACCCCUUCCGUGCCGAAGCCAACGCGUUAAGUAUCCCGCCUGGGGACUACGGCCGCAAGGUUAAAACUCAAAGGAAUCGACGGGGGCCCGCACAAGCAGCGGAGCGUGUGGUUCAAUUCGAUGCGACACGAAGAACCUNCCUAGGCUUGACAUGCAAGUGGUAGUGAAGNGAAAGCGGAACGACCCGCAAGGGAGCUUGC
rnacentral:rRNA from 1 species